rnacentral:misc_RNA from 1 species
GUUUCAAUUUUCAUAUUCCCAACACCAAAACACUUUUUAAUCAGGCAACCACAUUUUUUCAAACAUUUGAUUGAUCAGCCCCAGUCAAAAGCUGCCAAGCCAGUCAGCAGCCCCAGUCAAAAAGUCAAAAGCUGCCAAGCCAGUCAGCAGCCCCAUCCCACAACUAAAUCAAACAAACACUCUUUGGGUGUCAAGUUGUUUGUUUUGCAAAGACAGGCCACAAAAAGCCUGAGGCUGCAUAAAUUUUCAAUAAUGAUCCUUCCGCAGGUUCACCUACGGAAA